rnacentral:lncRNA from 1 species
CGAGCUUUACAUUACAUUUGAACGUGGAAUGUACGUAACCAGGAAAGGUAUGGAAAACUUACCAGUCUAGCCAGAACGUGCAAACAGCCACAAUCAUGGCCGCCAGCUCUGAUAGGACAUAGCCUUUCACAUGCAUCUUUGAAUGCCUUUUGCCAUAGAUCGAUGGCGAAAUUUCCCUGUUCUUGAUCACCAAAGCCAUGCUUUCGAGCAUGAACAUGAGCCUUCUUAGAGCCGGAGCCUUUGACUGCCGUAGACUGCAUAUGUGGGGUAAGGGUCUGGAGUGAAC